rnacentral:rRNA from 1 species
GGCGGACGGGUGAGUAACACGUGGGUAACCUGCCUGUAAGACUGGGAUAACUCCGGGAAACCGGAGCUAAUACCGGAUAGUUCCUUGAACCGCAUGGUUCAAGGAUGAAAGACGGUUUCGGCUGUCACUUACAGAUGGACCCGCGGCGCAUUAGCUAGUUGGUGAGGUAACGGCUCACCAAGGCGACGAUGCGUAGCCGACCUGAGAGGGUGAUCGGCCACACUGGGACUGAGACACGGCCCAGACUCCUACGGGAGGCAGCAGUAGGGAAUCUUCCGCAAUGGACGAAAGUCUGACGGAGCAACGCCGCGUGAGUGAUGAAGGUUUUCGGAUCGUAAAGCUCUGUUGUUAGGGAAGAACAAGUGCAAGAGUAACUGCUUGCACCUUGACGGUACCUAACCAGAAAGCCACGGCUAACUACGUGCCAGCAGCCGCGGUAAUACGUAGGUGGCAAGCGUUGUCCGGAAUUAUUGGGCGUAAAGGGCUCGCAGGCGGUUUCUUAAGUCUGAUGUGAAAGCCCCCGGCUCAACCGGGGAGGGUCAUUGGAAACUGGGAAACUUGAGUGCAGAAGAGGAGAGUGGAAUUCCACGUGUAGCGGUGAAAUGCGUAGAGAUGUGGAGGAACACCAGUGGCGAAGGCGACUCUCUGGUCUGUAACUGACGCUGAGGAGCGAAAGCGUGGGGAGCGAACAGGAUUAGAUACCCUGGUAGUCCACGCCGUAAACGAUGAGUGCUAAGUGUUAGGGGGUUUCCGCCCCUUAGUGCUGCAGCUAACGCAUUAAGCACUCCGCCUGGGGAGUACGGUCGCAAGACUGAAACUCAAAGGAAUUGACGGGGGCCCGCACAAGCGGUGGAGCAUGUGGUUUAAUUCGAAGCAACGCGAAGAACCUUACCAGGUCUUGACAUCCUCUGACAACCCUAGAGAUAGGGCUUUCCCUUCGGGGACAGAGUGACAGGUGGUGCAUGGUUGUCGUCAGCUCGUGUCGUGAGAUGUUGGGUUAAGUCCCGCAACGAGCGCAACCCUUGAUCUUAGUUGCCAGCAUUCAGUUGGGCACUCUAAGGUGACUGCCGGUGACAAACCGGAGGAAGGUGGGGAUGACGUCAAAUCAUCAUGCCCCUUAUGACCUGGGCUACACACGUGCUACAAUGGACAGAACAAAGGGCUGCGAGACCGCAAGGUUUAGCCAAUCCCACAAAUCUGUUCUCAGUUCGGAUCGCAGUCUGCAACUCGACUGCGUGAAGCUGGAAUCGCUAGUAAUCGCGGAUCAGCAUGCCGCGGUGAAUACGUU